CUUUAUCAUUGCCAAGUUGCCAAACAGCCCCCUUUCAGGCCUAGCAUCUUUCUUUGGUGUCUUCUUUCUUUCAUUUCUUUCCUCCUCCUCCUCCUCUGAAUUCAUCUACAUAUGCUCAUCUCCUCCUCCUCCUCCUCCUGCUUGCAUGUUUAAUUCUUAUUGAUCGGAAAGUUGUAAUCUUUUAGAGUUGCCACCUCUUAUGUACGGAUCUGAAAUGAUUGCCUUCAAACUAACACUAGCACUCAAUUACAAGGAGGCUUUGAGUUUCUUGUGGGGAGAUACAGAUCCUUGGUUAUAAGCGUAUUUCAGAUUCGAAAGCGUUUUUAAGGAUCAUCUGUAUCCAGUUAGAUCUUCCAAUGGAGCCUAUCAGUUUAAAGAUCACGAUCUAUCGGUUUGCAUGGACUGGACUUAUUGGUCCGGUUGGUCCUAGCCCUGGAUUGGAUCAAAAGACCCUGUUCCUGUUGGAUGGUUAUGAGGUUUGAUUUGCCCUGCUUGUAAUUUUUUUUUCUCAGCAUUAGACUUGCUUUAAUUGUUUGGGUAAGUAAUUGUCUUAAUAGAAACACACCAGAAAGGAAGGCAACGGAUAGCCUUGUAGCCCAGCCGUUGAGGGAAAAAACCCAAGUACAAAUAAACCCAAAACUACAGCAGCUGCAAAAAAAGAAAAAGAAAAAAGGCUACCUUGCUGAGUCUUUUACAACUACGAUCAAGAAAAGGUUUGCCUCUCCCGAGAAUCCAAAAUGGGUCAUCGUAGUAUAUGACAUAUAGGCCUCGUUUGAUAACGGUGAUAGAUGGGUGGGAUUUUUAAUGAGAUGAGAUUACGAUUGGGAUUGAUAAUGAGAUGGAAUUGAUAACUCUCUUGUUUGUUUGGGAUGGGAUUAUUAAUAUCAUGUUUGUUUCCCAUGGGAUAGGAUUGGAUUAGACUGGAUUAAUACAUUUGCAAAUUUGCCCUUAUGCAAAUCUGAAGGAUAACAACACCAUGCUCUAUUGCAUCAAAAGCAAAUCGAGAAAACAAUAUAAAUAACCAAUCCCAAGAGCUUAGAGGUUUAUCAAACGGGGCCAUAGAUUUUUCUACCAUUGUCUCCUUCUCUUUAUCUUGAAUGUUUAUUUCCUUUGCCAUCUUUGUCUUCGAAUUAGAAUUGAUGCUAACUGUUAUACAUCUUUGUUUAUCUACCAUUGUCUCCCAAGAGCUAACUGUUGAUGUGAGUUAUACAUGUUAAUUUGUUUUAAAGUGGAGAAUGGCCACUGUGAAUUUCUUAAUCUUAUGUGUCUUUUCUUGAUAUUAAUUUGGUUUCAAGUGGAGAAUGGCCAUUGUGAAUUUCUUGAUUGUGUA